rnacentral:rRNA from 1 species
GUCUACAGCCAUACCGCCCUGAAAGUGCCCAAUCUCAUCUGGUCUUAGAAGCUAAGCAGGGUUGGGCCUGGUUAGUACUCGGAUGGGAUAAAGAUCUUCAGAGGCAGCUGCUCAGAGACAAGCAGUUUGGAGACA